rnacentral:rRNA from 1 species
CCUACGGGAGGCAGCAGUGGGGGAUAUUGCACAAUGGGGGAAACCCUGAUGCAGCGACGCCGCGUGUGGGAAGACGGUCCUCUGGAUUGUAAACCACUGUCCCCAGGGACGAAGAUGACGGUACCUGGGGAGGAAGCCCCGGCUAACUACGUGCCAGCAGCCGCGGUAAUACGUAGGGAGCGAGCGUUGUCCGGAAUUACUGGGUGAAAAGGGAGCGUAGGCGGGGAUGCAAGUUGGGUGUCAAAACUACCGGCUCAACUGGUAGUCGCACUCAAAACUGCAGGUCUUGAGUGAAGUAGAGGCAGGCGGAAUUCCUAGUGUAGCGGUGAAAUGCGUAGAUAUUAGGAGGAACACCAGUGGUGAAGGCGGCCUGCUGGGCUUUUACUGACGCUGAGGCUCGAAAGUGUGGGGAGCAAACAGGAUUAGAUACCCCAGUAGUC